rnacentral:pre_miRNA from 1 species
GAGCUUAUUCACAGAAGUACAGCAUAACCCAGUAGACCUGUAGUUUUAUGUGUAAGCUCGU